rnacentral:rRNA from 1 species
UACGUAGGGUGCAAGCGUUGUCCGGAAUUAUUGGGCGUAAAGAGCUCGUAGGCGGUCUGUCGCGUCGGCUGUGAAAACCCGGAGCUCAACUCCGGGCCUGCAGUCGAUACGGGCAAACUGGAGUGUUGCAGGGGAGACUGGAAUUCCUGGUGUAGCGGUGAAAUGCGCAGAUAUCAGGAGGAACACCGAUGGCGAAGGCAGGUCUCUGGGCAUUAACUGACGCUGAGGAGCGAAAGCAUGGGGAGCGAACAGG